UGGCGGUAAUGCACCAUAACGUUGGAUUCCAAACGCCGAUAAACCCCACAGAAGAAGAGUAACUUUAGGCACACCCCCUUUGGCUCACCGGCGCACCCCCCCCAGCCUUCUCACCUGCCCUGUCCGCCUCCACAGCUGUCGUCAAUGGACAAAUGCUGUAGCAAGGAUCAUGGUGGCGAAAAGUCUAGUGUCUUUAGUGUUUCUAAUUUGUUGCAUCGUUGGAACCGAGAACAAUAAAGGUGGGUGAGAGAUUGAGAUGUAUUUUUUAUUGCCUAGGUGAUAACCUUCUUCGUUACGCUUUGUACCUGUUGCGAUUACAAAGCCUCGGGAAUUUGAUUGUGAAAUAUAGCCUACCUGAUAACAAGGCUACUUUGUCUAUCAUACCGUUUAACUCUACUUAUUAACUAAUAGAGGCUAUUUCACAACUCUCCGCGACACGUUGUGCUUCCGCACAAAAUAAUUACCUUUGUUAGCGCUUGUUAUAAAUUCUGAUCCAGGCUCGGUCUUAUUGUUUCUGAUGUGCCCUGAAGGUUUGGGCUGUGAUGAUAUUUUCAAUGGACAAACAGCUAAACUCUCCAGCUACACGGUUGUAAAGCCUCAGCUUAUUCACAGGAGAUGGGCAAGAAAUGCCGACAGACGUCCUGACUGGGGAAAGGUAAGGUUUCCUCUACAGGUCUCCCAACUCGUGGUUAGACACAUGAUGGUAAAUGACCACGGGUGUAUUUUCAUGUGA
rnacentral:lncRNA from 1 species